GAACACGCCGCUAAUUGUCCGUUCAUCGAAGUUAAGCAACGUCGAGCCUGGUCAGUACUUAGAUGGGUGAUCGCUUGGGAAUACCAGGUUCUGUAA